GACGAACGCUGGCGGCGUGCUUAACACAUGCAAGUCGAACGGAAAGGCCCUGCUUUUGUGGGGUGCUCGAGUGGCGAACGGGUGAGUAACACGUGAGUAACCUGCCCUUGACUUUGGGAUAACUUCAGGAAACUGGGGCUAAUACCGGAUAGGAGCUCCUGCUGCAUGGAGGGGGUUGGAAAGUUUCGGCGGGUGGGGAUGGACUCGCGGCUUAUCAGCUUGUUGGUGGGGGAGUGGCUUACCAAGGCUUUGACGGGUAGCCGGCCUGGGAGGGUGAACGGCCACAUUGGGACUGAGGUACGGCCCAGACUCCUACGGGAGGCAGCAGUGGGGAAUAUUGCACAAUGGGCGGAAGCCUGAUGCAGCAACGCCGCGUGCGGGAUGACGGCCUUCGGGUUGUAAACCGCUUUCGCCUGUGACGAAGCGUGAGUGACGGUAAUGGGUAAAGAAGCACCGGCUAACUACGUG
rnacentral:rRNA from 1 species